GUCAUAGCCGCAUAUCCUUCUAGUUGCUGCAUGUGGGACUCGUCCUCAGCAUGGCCGGAGAAGCGGUGUGUCGGAGCGCGCCCAGGAUCCGAACCCAGGCCGCCAGUAGCGGAGCGCGCGCACUUAACCACUAAGCCAUGGGGCCGGCCCAGAACAUCAAACUUUUAAUUUAACAGUUUCUUCCUAAUCUUUGCUUUUGAUAUAAGGUAAAAUCCACUUUUUUAAUAUGGUAUGAAACAUUCUAGAAAGCAAAAUUAAUGCCUUAGUGUGUGUUCUGAAGUCCAAUCAUUAUUAACUGUCUAGACUACAUAUUUAAUACUUUCUCCUUUAUUUCAGUUCUCUUUAUCCAAUCGCAAUACUACUUGGUUAAGAAAUAAGCUUGUCAAAUCAAUUCUAGGAUUUUAUAGGCGGUGGGAUGGCGGUGGGAGAGUGCUUUAUUUUCCAGCUUCCAUGGCUCCAAAAGAUGCCCUAUUAGUAAUAUUUUCAUUGUGGAGAAAAUGUAAUUUCCUGCAGAGGUCUUUGUGUCAGUAGUAGUUAUAGAAUAUGAGAGUCAAAACAAAACCUUAGUCCAAAUGCCUAAUUUUAGAUAAGGAAACAAACAGAGAGGUUAAGUCACCUACCCCGGGACACAAGCAGUUAUCUGUCAAGUCAGUCCUAGUCUUGAGUUCUCUUUAACUGAAUCCAUUGAUGGUUCUAUUAUACAAGGCUGGUAAUAGCCAUUUUAUAAUAAGACCUGCUUAACAAAAUGUAGUAGUUUUCUUUAUGUGUAGGAAAAUAAAAUAUAUAUUGCAUGCCUUCUUAUUACAGAAAAAAAUGGUGCUAUGAAGAUAUAAUUAUAGCUUUCACAUAAAUGAAGUUACAACUAUCAUGAUUUAGUGCCCUAAAAAGGAAGAACUUCAGUGGACAAGAGAGGGCAUUUUGUGGGUAAUAGAAUGCUUGAGGCCUGGAAUUUAAACUUGAGCUACUGCCUGAAGAUAUGGUGAGGCCAACAAAUCAGAAGAUGAUUGCCAUUGAAAAAAUAGUUUAUUACUGACAUUUCCCAAGAGGAGUGAUGCAUGCCCCACAGGGCCGCACAAGAGAAAACUGAGCUAUUAAAUAAUAGAAGACAAUGGAAUUGAAUAUGAUAUCAGCAUGGAACAGUCUAAUGAUUCAUUAAGAGUCAACCAUAAUGAUUCCGAAGAGUCAAAAACAGAUUCACAGGAUCUAACCUGUAUGGACUCUAGGGAUCCUUCCUUUGGACAAAAUGGUUCCCCUAGAAUUUUACCCAUUACUACUCAUGAAGCAGAUAAUUCACUCACAUCACAGAAUAUACCAGGGCCCGUGACUCAGACACGGACUCUUUCUGCAGAACAGUUCCAUCUAGUGGACCAAAAUGGGCAACCUAUUCAAUAUGAACUUCAGUCAUUGGGGGAUUCUAGUGCACAAAUGAUGAUUGUUGCCAGCCCAUCAGAAAAUGGACAGGUGCUUCGUGUAAUUCCAUCCACACAGACAGGAAUGGCCCCAGUGAUUAUACCUCAGGGGCAGCCUGUGGAUGUGAAUAGUCCUCAGGAUGUCUCUGAAGAGAAACCCAGUGACAGAAACUUACCAGCUGUGAGAGUGGAUGCUCUAGCAGACAAUAACAGUAGUUACAUUCUUUAUCCACAAACAUCCCUCACGUUGCCCAAAAAGACAGUGACCAGAAUGCUUGAAGAACCCUUUCUGGCUCCUCUCCAGGCACUUUCUUCUAACACACCUAUAUGGGCCUGCCGUCUUAGGAGCUGUGAGAAAAUUGGAGAUUCAUACCGUGGCUACUGUGUAAGUGAGACUGAAUUAGAAAGUGUCCUAACAUUUCACAAGCAGCAAACACAGAGUGUUUGGGGGACCCGCCAAUCUCCGAGCCCAGCCAAGCCAGCUACACGCUUGAUGUGGAAAUCCCAAUAUGUCCCAUAUGAUGGAAUCCCAUUUGUGAAUGCAGGGAGUAGAGCCGUAGUAAUGGAAUGUCAGUAUGGGCCAAGGAGAAAAGGUUUCCAGUUAAAAAAAAUCAGUGAGCAGGAAAGCAGGUCUUGUCAGCUCUACAAAGCCACUUGUCCAGCCCGGAUUUACAUUAAAAAGGUACAGAAGUUUCCUGAAUAUGGAGUUCCUACAGACCCCAAAAUUGAUAGGAAAAUAAUCCGAAUGGAGCAGGAAAAAGCCUUUAACAUGCUAAAGAAGAACUUGGUAGAUGCUGGUGGUGUUCUUAGGUGGUAUGUACAGUUACCUACCCAGCAAGCUCAUCAGUAUCAUGAAUUAGAGACUCCUUGCCUCCCUUUGUCACCUUCCCCUUUUCCUGUGUCUUCUCUUGAAGAAGAGGAAACUGCAAUUAGAGAUGAGAAUUGUACAUUACCCUCACGUCUACAUCCUCAAGUAGCACAUAAGAUUCAAGAGUUAGUAUCACAGGGAAUAGAACAAGUGUAUGCAGUAAGGAAACAGCUAAGAAAAUUUGUGGAAAGGGAACUGUUCAAACCUGAUGAAGUACCUGAAAGACAUAAUUUAUCCUUUUUUCCAACUGUAAAUGAUAUAAAAAAUCACAUCCAUGAGGUGCAGAAAUCCUUGAGAAAUGGAGAUAAUGUAUGUAAUUCAGAGAUUAUUCCAGCAACGCUUCAAUGGACUACAGACAGCGGGAAUAUUCUCAGAGAAACUGUGACAGUUACAUUUGCAGAAGGAAAUUCACCAGGAGAAUCAGUUACCACCAAAGUGGAAACAAAUCAGAUAAGGAGUUCUUUGUCUCCAGAGCCAGCCCAUUUGCUCUCCUCACUUUCCUCAUUUCAGCCAAAAAUAUUUACACAACUACAGGGUUUGCAUUUGCAACCAAGAUUUACCUCUCCUGAUGGAUCACCGGCUCUGAUAUCAGUAAAUAACCACCCCUCCUCCAGUCCAUCAAGACUUCUGGAUUCAAUAGGAAGUGCUGUAAUGAAUAAUAAUUCUCUACUGCUUGGUCAAAGUCAUAGCCUUCAAACAGAUUCAUGCCUAACCCAAAACAAUAGUAUUGCCUCUACUGUGGGUAACCUUCCAGGACCAGAUCGAAAUCUGGUUGCAAUGGAUCAGCUGGUGGAAGUUGGAGAUGUUGAGGAUACAGAGAAUCUGCAAGGAAGUGUUCAUCGGAUUCUGUUGGAAGAUGUGCAGACCAUUCCAAUACAGAUUAUAGACAGCCACCCAGCUCUCAUUGAAGAAAAUCCAGAAGGUACCAUUUCUAUGAACCAAGUUAAGCAAGAACCCAAAGAACCAGCGUUGUCUAUGGAAGCGAAAAAAAAUUUGGACUAUAAGAAAUUAUCUACUACAUGAACUACUGAAGCUUUUCAGAAUUUACAACUCUUGUGACUUCUGAUGUCAUAGAAAAGAAGGUAGAAACUGGAACUAUCAAUAUUUUCAUGUAAGUAUUUCAAUGAGUAGCCCUUUAAAAAUGAUUUCUAAAUUAGUUUUUAAAAAUUCGUUUGUCCUCUAAAUGCAUGUUCAGUCUCAGUAUGUCAGUAUUGUAUUUUAAAGGUGCUUAGCAUUGCUUUUUAAAAAGUAUGUUUACAUAUUUUAAAUAUUCAAUUUUUUUUAAAUGCACAGGGUAUUAAAUACAAGUGCAUAAAAUUUUUAGUAUCUAUAUUUGGCAUUCUCCUAACAGCUCUACAGCAAAGUUUGACAUUUGCUCUUUUGUGUCAUGUAUUACAAGGCAUAAUAUCUGUAGUGGUAAGGUAGACUUUCAAAAUAAACAGUUAGAAAUUCAUAAUCACAGCUGAGCCUGUUUCCUCAUUGUGGUUUUCAUGUUCCAAGCCUCCAAGGGAACUUUAUAUGUACUAUGGUGAAUUACAGAUAAACAUCGCCAUGUAGGCCUUUCCCUCGAUAGUAAUUUUCUGUGUAAGCGGUUAUCAUAAUUAAAAGAAAAAGCUUUUAUGUUUUAUACAAGGUAAAUGUUUUCUAAAAGUCACAAAAGCGAUAGAAAACAGAUUUUGGGAUCUGGUCCUGCAUUAGAGUUUUUAAUUUUGAGGCCCACCAGCUUGUGUUUCAUCUUUAUAUCCUGUUAAAAUACAUACUUAAUCAUGUGAGUGUGAGAAAGAUGUUUAAUUUGUACCAGAUUUAUAAAGAAGUUUAAAAAUGUGUGUAUAUAUAUUGUAAUGUAAUGUAUAGUGUCCUUGUUAUAAUGUAAUUUUUUCAUUAAAAAAAUCCUGUGUUAUUUUUUUCUUAAACUUAGUAGUUUUCUUUUUAUGCUUUUCCUGGAGAUAGUGGUAGUUUUGUUUAUCUCGACUAUGCUGAAUAAACACUUAAUACCUGAGAAUUUUGGCUAGAGAUUUAUGUUCAAUUUGGAAGCUGCAAGUUUUUAAGCAUAGCUACCAGUAACUCCGGUUAUCAUCACAUUUGGGGAUAUAUAUGCAUUUACUACUCUCAACUCAGCCAGCCAUCUUCAAGUACAGCUUUAUAUUUUAGGAGUAAUGAUGGAAGUAUGUGAUUUUAAAAGGAGGGAUCAUUAAUUUUUUUCCCUCUUUGCUUUUUUUGCUUCAUUCCACU